rnacentral:rRNA from 1 species
UACGUAGGCAGCGAGCGUUGUUCGGAGUUACUGGGCGUAAAGGGCGCGUAGCGGCCGCCUAAGUCGAACGUGAAAUCCCCGGGCUCAACCCGGGAACUGCGUCCGAUACUGGCAGGCUUGAAUCCGGGAGAGGGAUGUGGAAUUCCAGGUGUAGCGGUGAAAUGCGUAGAUAUCUGGAGGAACACCGAUGGCGAAGGCAAUCCCCUGGGCCUGCACUGACGCUCAUGCACGAAAGCGUGGGGAGCAAACAGG